UACAGAGGUCCCAAGCGUUGUUCGGAUUCACUGGGCGUAAAGGGUGCGUAGGUGGCGGGGUAAGUUUGAUGUGAAAUCUCCGGGCUUAACCCGGAAAGGUCAGCCGAUACUGCGGGGCUAGAGUGCAGAAGGGGCAACUGGAAUUCUCGGUGUAGCGGUGAAAUGCGUAGAUAUCGAGAGGAACACCUGCGGCGAAGGCGGGUUGCUGGGCUGACACUGACGCUGAGGAGCGAAAGCGUGGGGAGCGAACAGG
rnacentral:rRNA from 1 species